GACGAACGCUGGCGGCGUGCUUAACACAUGCAAGUCGAACGAUGAAGCCUUAGCUUGCUUUGGUGGAUUAGUGGCGAACGGGUGAGUAACACGUGAGCAACGUGCCCAGGACUCUGGAAUAACCGCGGGAAACCGUGGCUAAUACCGGAUAGGUGCCGAGGCCGCAUGGUCUUCGGUUGGAAAGUUUUUGCGGUUCUGGAUCGGCUCACGGCCUAUCAGCUUGUUGGUGGGGUAAUGGCCUACCAAGGCGACGACGGGUAGCCGGCCUGAGAGGUGACCGGCCACACUGGGACUGAGACACGGCCCAGACUCCUACGGGAGGCAGCAGUGGGGAAUAUUGCACAAUGGGCGCAAGCCUGAUGCAGCAACGCCGCGUGGGGGAUGACGGCCUUCGGGUUGUAAACCUCUUUUAGUAGGGAAGAAGCGCAAGUGACGGUACCUGCAGAAAAAGCACCGGCUAACUACGUG
rnacentral:rRNA from 1 species